UACGAAGGGGGCUAGCGUUGUUCGGAAUUACUGGGCGUAAAGCGCGCGCAGGCGGUCUUCCAAGUCAGUGGUGAAAGCCCGGAGCUCAACCCCGGAAUUGCCAUUGAAACGGUUGGACUUGAGGAUGAGAGAGGUGAGUGGAAUUCCCAGUGUAGAGGUGAAAUUCGUAGAUAUUGGGAAGAACACCGGUGGCGAAGGCGGCUCACUGGCUCAUUACUGACGCUCAGGCGCGAUAGCGUGGGGAUCAAACAGG
rnacentral:rRNA from 1 species